rnacentral:tRNA from 1 species
CACUAAGUGACUGAAAAGAAAGUAAUGGUCUCUUAAACCAAACUAUAGUAAUUAUCGCCUACUCUUAGUG